CCUACGGGGUGCUGCAGUGGGGAAUAUUGGACAAUGGGGGGAACCCUGAUCCAGCCAUGCCGCGUGUGUGAAGAAGGCCCUCGGGUUGUAAAGCACUUUCAGUGAGGAAGAACGCCUGGUGGUUAAUACCCAUCAGGAAAGACAUCACUCACAGAAGAAGCACCGGCUAACUCCGUGCCAGCAGCCGCGGUAAUACGGAGGGUGCGAGCGUUAAUCGGAAUUACUGGGCGUAAAGCGCGCGUAGGUGGCUUGAUAAGCCGGUUGUGAAAGCCCCGGGCUCAACCUGGGAACGGCAUCCGGAACUGUCAAGCUAGAGUGCAGGAGAGGAAGGUAGAAUUACCGGUGUAGCGGUGAAAUGCGUAGAGAUCGGGAGGAAUACCAGUGGCGAAGGCGGCCUUCUGGACUGACACUGACACUGAGGUGCGAAAGCGUGGGUAGCAAACAGGAUUAGAUACCCGUGUAGUC
rnacentral:rRNA from 1 species